rnacentral:lncRNA from 1 species
UUGUCAUUGCUAAUAGACGCAAUUAUUCCGGUGUGGGGAUCCUCACCAUCAACAUCAGCAACUGUAAAUUCAGGGCCAAAGUCACAAAACACGCUACCAAAAAGGCCUCGAACUUCAGCUUUGAUGAAAGCUAUCGGAGGCUGGUGUUGAUGACAGUAAUCAUCAAAUUCAACAGCCUUCUCUAAGCUGAUAUCUGUAAAUACAACAGCCUGCCAAGGAUAUAGCAAUAAGAAUUGGAGGCUGGUGCUGAUGACAGUAAUCAUCAAAUUCAACUGCCUUCUCUAAGCUGAUAUCUGUAAAUACAACAGCCUGCCAAGGAUAUAGCAAUAAGGAUGUCAUUUCCCCCACAAUCAUGCCACAGUACUAGUUAAAUAAUUAUCGCAUCUAAAAAAAUUAACUCUGUUAUGUUCAUAUCACUGACAGACAAUAACAAAUAUAACUAAUAACACCAAUUGCAAACAUUGUACCAAAUAUUGGGUUGUUAUUGUUGUUGCACCAAAUACUUCACCACCCAUACAGUAGUAGACAUCCUCAAAUAAAUUGCUAUCGACAUAGUUAAGAUAAUUCGUCCCUGAAAAAUCUUAAUGACUGUCGCAUCCCACAAUAAAUGCGAACACAGGUUACUUGUAUUUUUAUGUAAGCUUAACCAUUAUCACUGUAACAGUGUACGUGGAAAGCAACUCUAUUUAGUUUAAAUAUUAUAAUAUUUAAAUCAGAUCUCUGUUUGGUCGUAAAUGGCUAUAUCGUUUUGCAACUAAACUAACUAUCUAAAAAAUCAAUGAUAGAUUUUUUAUAGGUAAAAUUUACAAGAGUUUUUAGCCUUGAAAAAAUGACUAGACAAAUAAACUGGAGAUAUUUUCUUUACACAAUUAAUCAGGACAUAGGUCAUUUCUGUCCUGGCAAAAUUCAAAAAAUUUGUCGGUUUUCCAAUGGAGAACCUCACU